GGGCGCGUAGUCUAGCAUGGAUAAGGCGCCAGCCUUCGAAGUUGGAGGCCCCAGGUUCGAAUCCUGGCGCGCCCGCCA
rnacentral:tRNA from 1 species